GAUAAAUUUUAUAUAUUUUUACGACAAGAUACAAAUUAUGUAAAUGAAUUUUCAGAGAGUUAUAUAUUUUUCGAUGGGAUUUGAACAAGUAAUUCAUUUUAUUCUUAUUCAUUUCAGUAAACCAGUUUUCGUUGGUGAACGGAUGAUUAUUUGAGUUGUGUAUACAGUAUACUAUACUUGUUCAAAAUGCAUUCCGAUAUGUCAUGUGUUUCUUUCUGGUUAUUGAUAGCUUCUAUAAAGCAUCUAAUUGAACGGGUAAAUAUAAAUUGAUUUUGUUUAAGUUUAAUGUGAGUGUUGGGGUUGUUAAUUGUAAGGAUGUAAAGUUACUUCUAUGUGGAUAAGGUUGAGUAUGAAGAAAGUGGAGCGAGGAUUGUUCACCUCAAAUGCUUCUAAAUGGAUUAUAGUUGUAGUGAUCGAUGAGCGUUAUUUUGUUUGCUUUUUGAGGGAUUUCAUAUAUCUCAUUUCUUUGUUUUUAUAAAGUUUAUACUUUAAUUAAUUUAUCAUACUGCAAAUGAUUUUUCAUCAAAUACUAUGAAUGAUCAUCUUUACUCUUCAGUCUCCACAUAAUACAAAUUAAAAACCAUUCUAUGAAUUUGACAACACAAGUUCGUUUGGUUUGUUUUUUUUUGGUAAAAUGUUAAGCUUACCAUUUUCUGAAGAAAUUACAAUGUUGUUGUUAAACAACUUAUUACAGAGAUAAAGAAACAGACAACAACCCAACUUGAACAACUUCGUUUGGUUUGUUUAUUACGUUACAAUCAUGAAUUCGUGAUAGUUAUUGCAACACUAUAGGGUAUCAUUUACUUACAUCAUAACUUCUAUUCUCCAACAUUUAGAACAUGUUUUCUCACACAAAAAAUUAGAACAUGCCUAUGGAUAUAUCUAAUAGAUUAUUUAUUAGAACAUAUAUCCACAACUAUAAGUUUUAUCACUACUUAGAGUUUUUAUUUGGGUUACCCAUUUUGUUUAAUUUGUUUCUAUAACAUAUGUGAUAUGUACUUAUAUUAUGUUAACUUUGUCUUAAAUCAUUAAUCAAGAAUUAAUUUUUAAAUAAAAUUAUGUAUUAUGUAAUAAGAAACAAAUUAGUAUUUAGGAAAUAAAUCAAAAUUUGUAUUUAGGAAAUAAAUCAAUUAUAAUAUCACAUUAUUCAUGGUUUUAGUUGUUUUGCAGGUUCCACAUGUUAAGUAAUUCAAAACAAUUAUAUAUGCAAUUAAUAUAGCAUAAAGUUAUUUUGGGUUAAAUGAUUAAUGUUUUCACUUUAAAAAAGGCUAAAAGUAGAAACUAGACACGUGUCUGCGUGUAGUAACAAAUAAUAUAGCCAAAAGAUGCACCUACGUACAUGUAUUCAUUCUUAUUACAAUUUUGUUAGAUUUCUUUUUUGUUGCAUUUAUUUGCAGGAAGGGGAUUUAUGCGUGUUGGACUCAAGCUUAUCAUUCCAUGCCACUAUAUAAACGCAACAAAACGGUACGAUUCUUGUCAAACGCGAUCUUGUUAGUGAGACAGAGAGAAGAACAAACGAGACUACACCCCGUCUAGAGAUGAAUAUAGCACUCUUGCAAGUAAGAAAAGGAUGGUUAUACAUUUGAUCCCUUUCUCGUAAUUCGUACAUAUCUUUUUUUUUCUUUUACUCUUUUUGUUUGUACUUGUUUUUGCACCAAUGUUAAUUAGCCAUUGUUUUCAAUGAAAUAGUCAGGGUUCUUAUGAGGUACGUACCAUCAUCCGCGAGUGGAAUUUGAUGGUUUUAGCUCUCUUUUUCAGUCCAUUCAUAGAUUUUAGUUUCUGAGUUUUAUUGUUAAUAUAAAUUGGAUAUUUAGUUUGUACUCGUUAAUUUUACCAAUUUUUACAUUGUUUUACUCAGAAAGUGAUAUUUCUUACAUUAGGCUUUUAUUUAGAAAAAGUGAUAAAGUUUUACAAAAAUGUGAAUAUGGUAAUCGACCCGCAUAUGUAGCAUCAAAAUAAAAGGGAAAGUAAGUUUUUGCACUAUGAACUCAGAACGUUUGCAGAUGUGAACCUACUUCAUAACCAUCCGAGUCAAAUGAUCUCUUGGUACAUUGGCCCCUAAUAAUAUUCUAAAUUUACGGGCCCUGAAGCUAGCGCUUCAUCAGCUUGCUACUGCUACCUAGAGUAAAGGAAAUUUGAAACUUUCGCUUAGGACAAAAUGUUUGGAUUGCUUCUCUAUUUAAGUACUUAUAUACUAAAUCACUAGUAAUAUAUUGUUUCUUUGUUUUCUACAAUUACAAUUAAUUAAGAUGUUAAUUAUAACCAAUUAAUUAUAGUUGUAUUAUUUUUCUUUAAUUCUUGAAUUUAUCCAUAUGCUUAUCUUCUUCUCUUUUAUCAUAAAAAUUAUUUUAUUCAUUCAUUCUAUCUAUUAUUAUUUAUUUUAUUUGCUUAUUAUUUUUAGGUUCACAAAUUUAAUAUAAAAUUAUCUAUAAAAAGAGUUUUUUUUUAUAUUAGACAGUUUUCUUUUGCAUUUAAAUAUUUAUGAAAGAAAUAUAAAACUAUAAUAAAGCGCAUAUUUCUGCCAAAAUGUUAUUUCGAAAAUGAUUUUGAUUAGUUCUUCUAUUCCAUCAAAGAACAUUUUCAUUAAGCAUAAUAUUAUAUCUGGUUUAGGGCAUCAAAAACUAUUGGCGCCCUGCUGCUACCAGGACCAGCUUUGGCGCAGAUGACACUGACAUGGUGCCUAUCGUGUGCGACAACAGAACUGGAAUGGUCAAGGUAAGGAGACAAGUAAAACACUCCUUUUUAGUCCGCAAUGUUCUAACUGUUUUAACCUCAGUUUAUGCCUUUGCAUGAAAAAAAAACAUGAAAAAAACAUAUUUUAAUAUUGUAAAUAUUUUCAGUUUUUAUUUUCUACAAAAUAUUUUGCAUAGUGAAAAACGCAAACAAAAGUAUAUCUUGUGUUUGCCCGUUUACAUUUAUAAUUAACAAUCUAAUUUUCUUAAGAUACUUCCGGUGGUGCAUACAUUUAGAAAAUAUACACUACAUAUAAACAAACAAAACAAGAUAGCAUGUUGUGAUGAUUGGUAAAAUGUGCUGAAGGCGGGGUUAGCUCGAGACGAUGAACCAAGCGCUGUGUUCCCAAGCAUCGCUGGCCGUCCACGACACAUGGAGCAGAUUAACAAUUGGGAUGACAUGGAGAAGAUUUGGCACCAUACUUUCUACAACGAGCUACGUGUGGCUCCUGAAAAACACCCUGUGCUGCUCGGUGAAGCUCCUCUAACCCCAAAGGCCAAUCGAGAGAAGAUUACCCAAAUCAUGUUUGAGACCUUUGGUGUCCCUAAACUAUACGUUGCCAAUGAAGCCAUUCUUUCUCUCUAUGCCUCUGGUCGUACUACAGGUAAAGGCAACUUUUUAUUUAUGUUUUGAAAAAAAUAAAGGCAAUUUAAAUUUAAAUUUUCCAAUUAAUUAAAAAGAGUAUGUUAUUUUUUUCCGUCAACCACAUGUAAGAAUAUGUUAGAAAAUUAAAAUUUGGUUAGUAUUUAAUAUAGAAUAUGUUAUUCUUUAGGCAUAUGUUUUCUAUAUGUUUUUGUGAGAUAAAUAUCCAAAAGCUGAAUAUAAGCACAAAUAGUAAUGAUGCAUUGGACGUCUAGUGGUUUAGCAUAAAAAGUUGGGUUCGUUGUACUUCUGAUUCGAUUUUCUUUCAAAAGAUAUUUUACGCCAUGUUAUAAGGUAUUAUUAUCAACUGGUUCCCUUGGAAAAAAAUAGGAUUUGGUGCAAACUACUCCCAGUUAAAAUAAAUAAAUAAACACAAAGGAACAAGAGUUUGUUCUUGGUUAAGUUAAUUUAUGAAAAUCUGAUUUUAACAAGUAUAUAUUGCAUUAGUUGAAAAUUGAAAUGAUUGGUGGAUGAGGUCUUAUCCUACUGAUUUUGCUUCUAGGUAUUGUGGUGGAUUCAGGAGAUGGUGUAAGCCACACAGUUCCCAUCUUCGAAGGUUACCCACCUCCCACAGGCGAUCUCGCGUCUAGACCUAGCAGGCCGAGACAUAACCGACUACCUCACCAAGAUCAUGAUGGAACGUGGCUACACAUACACCACAACAGCCGAGCGUGAGGUUGUCAGAGACAUCAAAGAGAAACUAGGUUACAUAGCUCUCGACCACGACCAAGAAAUGAAGAAAGCAACUGCGAGCUCAGCCAUCGAUAGAACCUACGAGCUUCCAGAUGGUCAAGUGGUCACGAUAUGAGCCGAGAGAUUCAGGUGUGCUGAGGCUCUUUUUCAGCCCUCCUUGGUCGACAUGGAAACUUGCGGUAUUCAUGAGAUGACUUACAAUUCAAUCAUGAAGUGUGAUGUUGACAUAAGGAAGGAUUUGUUCGGAAACAUUGUAUUGAGCGGUGGCACAACGAUGUUCCCUGGGAUUGCUGAUAGGAUGAGCAAAGAGAUGGCUGCGGUUGCACCUGCUGGCAUGAAGCUUAAACAUGUGGUUGGUUUUGAAAGGAAGAACAAUGUUUGGAUUGGAGGCGCCAUUUUGGCUUCUUUAGACAGUUUUCAACAGAUGUGGGUGACUAAGGCUGAGUAUGACGAAAAUGGACCGGGGAUUAUUCACAGAAAAUGCUUCUAAUAAUUAAGUUUAUUAGCCUUAAAUCAUCAUUUGUUCUGCUGAUAUAUAUAUAUGCUUUCCUCUUCUUAGUGUUAUGCCUGGUGAAAUAAAUCGUGUUGAGGGAAGCAAUAUAAUUGACUUCUUUGUUUGUAUUAAGUUAACUUUUUUAAGUAAUUUAUUUCUCUCCCAUAA